AUGGCAUCACAAAUGUUUCAAGAGAUAUAUGAACCUUGCACUUUGUAGCUAUAAAUAUAUGUUGAGAGAAACUCUGAACUAUUGGAGGAAAGCAAACACCAUGUUUCGAUUUUCACAUGUAGAAUUGAGGGCAUCUCAAGUAACGUGGGUAUGAAGAAGGCGCUACAGCUGCCGGAUUACCUAAAGCCGACGGAGCUGAAGAUGAUGCUCAAUACGAUCAAGGUCUUCCUGCCGAUUGUCUUUGUAAGGGAGGCAUGACACCUGGAUGUAUCAUUUGGGAGCAAACUUUAAACGUCUACCUCUUUUAACUAAGAUGUAUCAUUUUCUUCCAAAGACACGAAAGUAUGACACAUUGGGUUUGUUACCGGU